rnacentral:lncRNA from 1 species
GUUGGUUCAUGUCUGUCAUUUUCAUUUUAGAUUAAUUGUUUUGUAAUCAAGAACAUGUAGCUAUAUAUAUAGGCAGUUAGUUUUCUCAGUCGAAUUGUUUAAUAUUUCUCAUGUCUGGUGGGCCUUUUAUAGCUGACUUUACAUUAUAGGAUUUUCUCAUUGAUGAAGGCCAUAUGGUUGCCUAUAAUUGCUUACAUCCACUGUAUUUGAA